rnacentral:tRNA from 3 species
GCGCUUGUAGCUCAGUUGGAUAGAGCAACGGCCUUCUAAGCCGUAGGCCGCAGGUUCGAGUCCUGCCAAGCGUACCA